rnacentral:lncRNA from 1 species
GCCUCUGCUGAGUCGUAUGUAUUUCCCUCCUGACAUUUUUUUUCAGAUGUUCCAGUCACUUUAUGGCCUCACCAACAGAAAUGAGAUUAAAAAGAAUUUGUCAAACUAUCUUUAAUAAUGCCCCUUCACUCUGCCUGUGACGUAUUAGUGACCUCUGAGCUAGAGUCUUGUAGUCACUUCCUGGUGACCCCUGACCCCGUUGAUUUCCGUCCGCUAGGUUGCUCUCACCCAUGGCGUUUGCUGGUUAUGAGAUUUGCGGAACGUGUGGUGGUGGUAAAGGGCACCAACUGUUGUCAACCUGCAUGUGGGGGUCUGAGGUCUGGCUCUACAGCUUGUAAAAUGGAAAUAAUAAUGCCCAGAGGAUGAAAUUAGGCCACAUAGGCCGCUUGGCAUCAUAGUAAGCACUCAGUAAAGGUCAAUUGUUAUUAACCAUUUUUAUACAGCGCCUUUGUUUAGGUGCAGAGCUUUAUCAGAGCCAAAAGAUCUCUGCGCUCUGUUGGAAAAGAUAGUUCCUGCAGUAAUUAUUAGUACCCCAUUUAAUGGCUAAGUAAUUAUAGCUAACAGUGCUAGGAUUUCUUUUUCAUAUAUGACUUCAUUUGAACUUUUCAGUACUAUUUGUUGAUUUCAUAAUUUUUCGAGCACUGCUGUUGAAACUGCCUUUGCAAAAUUACAACUGAGGAAAUUAUGAUAGUGGAAGAAAUCAGACUUAACCGACUCCAUCUUGCUUCUAACCUUUAAGCUGUCCUUAUUCAUUCCUGGGUGUAGGUGGAACUAACUUUGGGGAGGAAUUCAGUUUAUGGUUUGAAACAAAAUUGAUAAUAGCCCCUUCCCGAAAAGACCCCCUUCUUGCCUGGGGACCAGUCUGUCUUUACAGGACUAACAAAUUAGCUACAAGAUUACAAAUUACAGUUUAGGGGACAUGCAGCCUCUCGCUCCAAGAGUCUGAACCUCCCCAAAUUGCUUUUAGGAAUAACAUAACUAUUGUAAAACCUAAGAUUAGUGCUUGAGAUGUUUUGCAGACCCUGCACUCAUUGGAUCAGCUGACUACCUAGACCAGUAACCUGGCUCAAUCAGUUCUGCCAUUCCACCCAGGAACAGAAAACAGCAAGAAAACCUCACUUUGACUCCCUGUGAUUCCGUCUUCAACCUGACCAAUCAGCACUCCCCGCUUCCCAAGCUCCUACUCGCCAAAUUAUCUUUAAGAACUCUGAUCCUCAAAUGCUCAGGGAGACUAAU